rnacentral:rRNA from 1 species
AGUUCAAGAGUACGUGAAACCGUUUAGGGGUAAACCUGAGAAACCCGAAAGGUCGAAGGGAGAAAUUCAUUCGCGUUUCGAAGUAGGCGCGAAACGGGGUCUCCUCGAGCGACGGAAUUCCUCUCGUCUCGUCUCGUACGGAACGAAGGAAUCAUCCGCGCCCUCCGUUUCGCGAACCGACGGCGAACGCGUGCACUUUUCUCCUGGUAGGACGUCGCGAUCCGUCGGGUGUCGGUCUACGACUUGCGGUGGAGACCGUUCGUGUCGCGUGUUUCGCGAUGCGUGCGCGAACGGACCCGCUCGUUCCGGCCGACUCGCUCGACGGUAUGCCCUAAGGUCGGAGGCCGCUCGAAUUUGAAUUUCGAUUCAACGAAGGAGCGUUCGACUCGUCGCAAGCGCGCCACGUGCGUCGGCCCGCGGACCUCGUGCCGCGUCCGACCUCUGGUGACUGUUGGCGUACGAUGUUCUCGAACAGACCUCUUUCUAUAUAUCUUUUUAUAUGGAACACACGGAAGACCGAUCGGCGACGCUAUAGCUUUGGGUACUUUCAGGACCCGUCUUGAAACACGGACCAAGGAGUCUAGCAUGUGCGCGAGUCAUUGGGAACUCACUAAACCUAAAGGCGUAAUGAAAGUGAAGGUCUUCCAUCUAGCGAAGACCGAGGGAAGACGGGCGGCGCGGAGCGUAAGCGUCCGCCGUCCCGCAUUCCCGGGGCGUCUCAAGUUCACGUCGCGUUUCGUGCGCGUGCGUGACGAGGCGCACCAAGAGCGUACACGCUGGGACCCGAAAGAUGGUGAACUAUGCCUGGUCAGGACGAAGUCAGGGGAAACCCUGAUGGAGGUCCGUARCGAUUCUGACGUGCAAAUCGAUCGUCGGAACUGGGUAUAGGGGCGAA